rnacentral:pre_miRNA from 1 species
CCUCGUCAGUCGCUCAGUAGGUAGUGUCAAAGUGCUGUCACUGGGUGUCUGACAGGUCU